CAGGCGGCUUGCUUAAUGCGUUAGCUGCGAUACUGAAAAUAAAUUUCCAACAUCUAGCAAUCAUCGUUUAUGGUAUGGACUACGAGGGUAUCUAAUCCUCUUUGCUACCCAUACUUUCGCGCCUCAGCGUCAGUGUUGAUCCAGAAAGCCGCCUUCGCAACUGGUGUUCUACAUAAUAUCUACGAAUUUCACCUCUACACUAUGUAUUCCGCUUUCCUCUAUCAAACUCUAGUCGAGCAGUUUUAAUUGCAGUUCCAAAGUUAAGCUUUGGGAUUUCACAAUUAACUAACUCAACGGCCUACGCGCGCUUUACGCCCAGUAAUUCCGAACUACGCUAGGUCCCUUCGUAUUACCGCGGCUGCUGGCACGAAGUUAGCCGGACCUUAUUCUUAGGGUACAGUCAUUAUCUUCCCCUACAAAAGAGCUUUACAACCCAAAGGCCUUCUUCACUCACGCGGCAUCGCUGCAUCAGAGUUUCCUCCAUUGNGGAAGAUUCCAA
rnacentral:rRNA from 1 species